UACGUAGGGUGCGAGCGUUACUCGGAAUUACUGGGCGUAAAGCGUGCGCAGGCGGUUAUUUAAGUCAGGGGUGAAAGCCCUGGGCUUAACCUAGGAAUUGCGCUUGAGACUGGAUAGCUUGGAGUGCGGCAGAGGGAGGUGGAAUUCCACGUGUAGCAGUGAAAUGCGUAGAGAUGUGGAGGAACACCGAUGGCGAAGGCAGCCUCCUGGGCCAGCACUGACGCUCAUGCACGAAAGCGUGGGGAGCAAACAGG
rnacentral:rRNA from 1 species